rnacentral:tRNA from 1 species
GACCAUGUAGCUCAGUUGGUAGAGCAUUGGACUAGUAUCCCAAAGGUCGCGGGUUCUAUUCCCACUGUGGCCA